rnacentral:rRNA from 1 species
UACGGGGGGGGCAAGCGUUGUUCGGAAUUACUGGGCGUAAAGGGUUUGUAGGUGGCUCGCUAAGUCAGACGUGAAAUCCCUCAGCUUAACUUGGGAACUGCGUCUGAUACUGGGAGGCUUGAGUGCGGGAGAGGGAUGUGGAAUUCCAGGUGUAGCGGUGAAAUGCGUAGAUAUCUGGAGGAACACCGGUGGCGAAGGCGGCAUCCUGGACCGACACUGACGCUGAGGCGCGAAAGCUAGGGGAGCAAACGGG